CACACACCCAAUCCAAGAACCUCUGCUGCCUGUAGCAGCUUAGCAGCUAUUUAAACAGUGGUGUGCACAGCAAGGAGGCUUUGUCACCUUUGAGGGGCUGUGUGGUGCCCCUCAGAGUGAACUGGGAGGUUCCAUAGUC